AGCUGCAGCAGUAAUGCUGUGCCUUCUGCUGCAGCUGCCAGCACUACCAUGGUGCUGGUGGGCAUGAAAUCUCUGUAGCAAGCAUUAGAAAAUCUGCACUGGUGAGAACUGCACUUCUGCCAGCACAGCAAGAGGCACAGCAUGACAGCAGCCAGGAUCUGAAGGAGGCUGCUCCCAACCAGACUAGAGAUUCUGGAGCAACCCUCUGGUAGGCAAGGCUGGGGUGAGACUCCAGUCUGCCCAUGCCACUAGCCCAGGCUGCCCCUGCUCUUGGGGCCCUCAGCAGAGGGGGCACUGCAGACAUGAUGCUGGUCUGCAGAGCCCUGGGGUGGAUGCCCCAGGGGAGGGUGCCAGCACCAGGCUUUGUGCUGGAGGAGGAGAAUCUAGGUCACAGAUCCUCUUUGGGAACAAGUACAUUUGAUGCUGCCAAGGGAAACAAACUGACUUGAAAGAAACAGGAGAAAGGGGAGCAAAGUGUCUUGAAAGCAACAGGACAAUGGGGAGAAAUAACUCAGUGAUUGAAACAAGGAUACUACAGGAAAGGAAGGAUGAAGACGAGAAGGAGGAAGAUAUUUGGUUUGCUGGGCAGCCUGUCCUUCCCCAUGGUGCAGAGCAGGUCACGUGAAUUUUGCCUGUCAGCUAAAGCCUUCAUAUUAACUGCAUUUUCCUGGAGAACCAGACACAUGUUUUGGUAAACCUAGCAAUGGAACGCAAACUUAUUGAUAAGCAUGGAUGGACAUCUCGCAAGAGGGGCAACGAGAAGCCGGUGACCAAGAAACUGGCCAGCUGUGUAUAACAUUCCAUUCACGUGAAUACUUCAUAUAAAAGUGGGAGAUCAUGAGGAUCUCGUCCCUUUUGCCUUUGCUUUUUCCCUUCUGCUUAUGGCCGACGUUAGGAGAGGACCUUGCUAGUCAUCCCUGCGAACUGAGGCCUAGUGACAGACUGAAUCCAUCUCCGGUUGGCUGCAGAGUCCAAUCCAGGACUUUGGUUGCCAGCUCUGCAGUUGCUGAGACUUUCAAGAUUGGUUUUGUAUAUUUUGUAUUAUUUUCUCUAUUCUUAUUAGUAGCAUUAGUAAAACAUUAUUAAUUUUUCCAACU